rnacentral:lncRNA from 1 species
UUGUGCCCAAACAAGAGAGGCUCACAAGCACAUGGCACCGACGGUAGUACAUUGCCCUAGACAUGUGCGGUUGUGCCUUCCUUCCAUCAAGAGAAAGACGUCAAAUUCUCUCCCAUCUCCAGUUCUCCAUGACCGCCUUUCGCACAUUUCAGUUUCAGCACCUUCAGAACUAAAGAAUAAAUUCGCGUGCUUUCCCUGCCAUCCCGCAGUGCCAUAUCGUUUCAAGGAGGAUGCUGCUCGGCAAAAAAUUAGUACCUGCUGCUGAGGCACUAUGAAUGAAGUUCAUGUCAUAACACAAGGCAGGAGAAUCAAUCCGCGGACGAAAUAAUCGCAAUGGCUGCUGGCUGGGGCACUAUGAAUUUUC